GACGAACGCUGGCGGCGUGCUUAACACAUGCAAGUCGAACGGAAAGGCCCUGCUUUUGUGGGGUGCUCGAGUGGCGAACGGGUGAGUAACACGUGAGUAACCUGCCCUUGACUUUGGGAUAACUUCAGGAAACUGGGGCUAAUACCGGAUAGGAGCUCCUGCUGCAUGGUGGGGGUUGGAAAGUUUCGGCGGUUGGGGAUGGACUCGAGGCUUAUCAGCUUGUUGGUGGGGUAGUGGCUUACCAAGGCUUUGACGGGUAGCCGGCCUGAGAGGGGGACCGGCCCCAUUGGGACUGGGAUACGGACCAGACUCCUACGGGAGGCAGCAGUGGGGAAUAUUGCACAAUGGGCGGAAGCCUGAUGCAGCAACGCCGCGUGCGGGAUAACGGCCUUCGGGUUGUAAACCGCUUUCGCCUGUGACGAAGCGUGAGUGACGGUAAUGGGUAAAGAAGCACCGGCUAACUACGUG
rnacentral:rRNA from 1 species